rnacentral:rRNA from 1 species
GGGCUACACACGUGCUACAAUGGUCGGUACAAAGGGUUGCUACACAGCGAUGUGAUGCUAAUCUCAAAAAGCCGAUUGUAGUCCGGAUUGGAGUCUGCAACUCGACUCCAUGAAGUCGGAAUCGCUAGUAAUCGCGGAUCAGAAUGCCGCGGUGAAUACGUUCCCGGGCCUUGUACACACCGCCCGUCACACCAUGGGAGUUUGUUGCACCAGAAGUAGGUAGUCUAACCGCAAGGAGGACGCUUACCACGGUGUGGCCGAUGACUGGGGUGAAGUCGUAACAAGGUAGCCGUA